UCUGUUUUAGUCCAGUGGUUAAGGCAUUGGACGAGUGACCAGAAAGUUGUGGGUUUGAUUCCCACCAUUAGAU